CUAGAUGUAAAUGCAAUUCCAAUUUACCAGAGUACUACGAAUACAUAAAUUUAAAACUCAAAGAGCUUGGCGGUGCUUUAGACUUUUCAGGGGAACCUGUCUCAUAAUCGACAAUCCACGAAUCAACCUCACCUCUUAUCGCAAUCAGCCUGUAUACCGUCGUCGCCAGGUAACUUCUAAAAAUAUAACAGUUAGCAGAAAAGUCACUCAACUUCUACGUCAGAUCAAGGUGCAGCCUAUAAAGAGGAGAGGAUGGGUUACAAUUAUAAAUCUUAACCACGGAUAUUGACUUUAACAGUCCAUUGAAGGAGGACUUGAAAGUAAGACCAAGCAGUCAAAUGCUCUGAAUUAAGCUCUGAAGCG
rnacentral:rRNA from 1 species